rnacentral:snRNA from 1 species
AUCACUUCUCGGCCUUUUGGCUAAGAUCAAGUGUAGUAUCUGUUCUUAUCAGUUUAAUAUCUGAGAUAGCCUCUAUCUGAGGACAAUAUAUAUGUGGUUUCUCAAGUUACAUAACUCCGAAAUACAGUGAUGGGACAGGCACAAGGUAACCGUUCCCAUUCCAAAAGGGGGAAUGGAGGAAUA